rnacentral:rRNA from 1 species
AUUGAACGCUGGCGGCAUGCCUUACACAUGCAAGUCGAACGGCAGCACGGGUGCUUGCACCUGGUGGCGAGUGGCGAACGGGUGAGUAAUACAUCGGAACAUGUCCUGUCGUGGGGGAUAGCCCGGCGAAAGCCGGAUUAAUACCGCAUACGAUCUACGGAUGAAAGCGGGGGACCUUCGGGCCUCGCGCUAUAGGGUUGGCCGAUAGCUGAUUAGCUAGUUGGUGGGGUAAAGGCCUACCAAGGCGACGAUCAGUAGCUGGUCUGAGAGGACGACCAGCCACACUGGGACUGAGACACGGCCCAGACUCCUACGGGAGGCAGCAGUGGGGAAUUUUGGACAAUGGGCGAAAGCCUGAUCCAGCAAUGCCGCGUGUGUGAAGAAGGCCUUCGGGUUGUAAAGCACUUUUGUCCGGAAAGAAAUCCUUGGCUCUAAUACAGUCGGGGGAUGACGGUACCGGAAGAAUAAGCACCGGCUAACUACGUG